UACAGAGGGGGCAAGCGUUGUUCGGAAUUACUGGGCGUAAAGGGCGCGUAGGCGGCCUUCUAAGUCGAACGUGAAAUCUCCGGGCUUAACCCGGAAACUGCCAUUGAUACUAUUUGUCUUGAAUACUGUGGAGGUCAGCGGAAUAUGUCAUGUAGCGGUGAAAUGCUUAGAUAUGACAUAGAACACCAAUUGCGAAGGCAGCUGGCUACACAAAUAUUGACACUGAGGCACGAAAGCGUGGGGAUCAAACAGG
rnacentral:rRNA from 1 species